rnacentral:lncRNA from 1 species
AGUUAAGGGAAGAACGGAGCUGUAGCUGAAUUGAUGCUUGAGAGGACUUUUGUACAUGAGUUUGCAGGUUACAUGUAGAUGGCCCUCGAACACCAUGCCAAAACGACGAACAAGAGAACGCGAGAAGGAAAAGGAUGUGAGCUGACGCAUCGCGCUGUAAGCGCUCGAAGCCGACAAGGCAACACAAGGACCAUGCGGUUCGAGGCUUCCUUCCCUCGACCCUUCGCCGGCGUGCUCUCCGACCAGUCGGACCCGUCUUCCUCGAAGAUGGUGUCGAGGGUCAGCGCCCGGGCUGCUCGUCUCGCGCUGCUGCUGGUGCGCCGCCACGGCGCCACCGCGGAGAAGGGGACCUUCGGCGACCGAGGAGAGCUCGGGGCCACCUCGAAGAAGAAGGAAGCUAGUUGUACGCUGGCCAUCUUUGCCUGAGCUAUGGAGCUUGAGGUCUAAGGACUCGACCGACUUGUUCUUACACCACGGAGAGGGAAGGAUCUUUAUAGAGAAGAAGAAAGGUAAAUGCACUUGAAUCAUUCCUUUAUUACCAAAACACCUUUCCGACGAAUCAGGAGGAUGAAAGCUGCAGCUAAAAAUGGACAGGGAUUAGAUUAGGAAUAGGAAUUCAUGUUCCUCGUGAGACCACAGCCAAUAUGCUAUGUCAUGUUCUUAUUCUCCUAACACUAUUCUUGGGAGUCAAAAGUAAAAGAUCUCCUUUUGGGGGGGGCAAUAAAGGCUUGGUUUGGAGGGAUUCAUGGAGUUCUCUUCCAGCUUGUGACUAAAAAUGGUGAAAGGUGUGGCUGCCAAAAAUGAGCAGUUCACAAAACCAUUCAUAAGUUGGUCAUUAGGCUUUGGGCUUCUCCUCCUCAUGCUGAGACUAAAGUUUUCUACACCCAAUAGUCUUGGGAUUUUGCUACAACAUGGAUUUCAUCUUAAUUCACAUCUACAACUACAGGAAAUAGAAUCAGACUCAUGGCAUGAUUCUUCAGCAUUCAUUAAUCUAUCAUAGGAUGAAUGCCAAGGACAGUGUUAUGUGCCAACUUGAAACUUACCAUAUGUCUUGUCAGUUGAUUUAGCAGAGUUAUUUUUAAGAUAAAAAUGAAUGUAUAUAAGAUUAAGAAUCAUAAGAUAUGUGAUCCACAGUGUUAGACAUGGAAACACUUUUCAGAGACAUUCUAAGAGUGUCUUAAUGUGGGUCAUGCAUCAUAUUGUUGCAUCUGGAAGUAAGGAAUCACUUUUCAUGGAUGAGAAGCACCAUUCAGGGAGUUGGCAGCCAUGGGAGGGUACUCAAAACAAGCCAAAUCCUCAAAGCACAAACCACACACAUGUUUGGCUAGUGGAAUGAAGAGAUGUAUGUGCAUUUCUUUGCAGACCACAAACAGGGGGGAGACAUUGACAUAUCCAUCUGCCUGUGGAUGGCUGCUGCUUU